rnacentral:rRNA from 1 species
UGGGGAAUUUUGCACAAUGGGGGAAACCCUGAUGCAGCGACGCCGCGUGAUUUAGAAGGCCUUCGGGUUGUAAAAAUCUUUUCUAUGGGAAGAAAAUGACAGUACCAUAGGAAUAAGGACCGGCUAAUUACGUGCCAGCAGCCGCGGUAAUACGUAAGGUCCGAGCGUUGUCCGGAAUCAUUGGGCGUAAAGGGUACGUAGGCGGGUAAGCAAGUUAGAAGUGAAAUCCUAUAGCUCAACUAUAGUAAGCUUUUAAAACUGCUCAUCUUGAGGUAUGGAAGGGAAAGUGGAAUUCCUAGUGUAGCGGUGAAAUGCGCCGAUAUUAGGAGGAAUACCGGUGGCGAAGGCGACUUUCUGGCCAUAACCUGACGCUGAGGUACGAAAGCGUGGGUAGCAAACAGG